GUGCUCGCUUCAGCAGCACACAUACUAAAAUUGGAACGAUACAGAGAAGAUUAGCACAGCCCCUGCACAAGGAUGACAUGCAAAUUCGUGAAGCAUUCCAUAUUUAU
ensembl:snRNA U6 U6 spliceosomal RNA